rnacentral:rRNA from 1 species
ACUGGUGUCAGCCGCCGCGGUAAUACCAGCUCUCCGAGUUGUAGGGAUGAUUAUUGGGCUUAAAGCGUCCGUAGCCGGCUUAGCAAGUCUCCUGUUAAAUUCAGCGACCUAAUCGUUGAGCCGCGGGAGAUACUACUAGGCUAGGAGGCGGGAGAGGUCGACGGUACUUUCGGGGUAGGGGUGAAACCCUAUAAUCCCGGGAGGACCACCAGUGGCGAAGGCUGUCGACUAGAACGCGCUCGACGGUGAGGGACGAAAGCUGGGGGAGCGAACCGGAUUAGAUACCCGGGUAGUCCCAGCUGUAAACGAUGCGGGCUAGGUGUUGGGGUGGCUACGGGCCACUUCAGUGCCGCAGGAAAGCCAUUAA